rnacentral:miRNA from 1 species
GGCUUUUCUGGGAGGUGGGGGAAGGGACAGAGCCACGUGCUCUAUCCCUUCCCCCACCUCCCACAAAAGCC